UACGGAGGGUGCAAGCGUUAUCCGGAAUCACUGGGUUUAAAGGGUGCGUAGGCGGACCUGUAAGUCAGAGGUGAAAGCCCACCGCUUAACGGUGGAAUUGCCUUUGAUACUGUAGGUCUUGAAUUAGGUUGAGGUUAGCGGAAUGUGGCAUGUAGCGGUGAAAUGCAUAGAUAUGCCAUAGAACACCGAUUGCGAAGGCAGCUAACUGGCCCUUGAUUGACGCUGAGGCACGAAAGCGUGGGGAGCGAACAGG
rnacentral:rRNA from 1 species